GGCGAAACGCCGAUGUCGAUCCCGCGCCGCCGCGCGCCGAUCGACUGCCGCUGCGCCCGUGCGGGCGCCUCACGCAAGCCGCGAACGCCGGCGCCGCCGCAAGACGAACCGCGGCCGGCGCGAGCCCGUCGUUCGCGCGAACGGAGCCUAGGCUCCCCCCUGCUCCACACGUCGCCACGCCACGCAGGCCGCAUAGCCCGUGGGCGCGUCGAGCCAUGCGGCGUCGAACGCCGCCACGCCGCUCGCGGGCGACGUCGGCUCGUCGAUGCCGAUCGUGGGCGCGAAACCCUCGCCCGACGGCGCGCCGCCCGCGAGCACCGAAAACGCGGUCAAGCCGCCGCCGAUCCCGGUGCCGAGCGCUUUCAGCAGCGCCUCCUUCGCCGCCCACACGCGAUAGCACGCCGAUUCGCGUUCGUCCACGGGCAGCGCGUCGAUCGCCGCCGCAUCCGCGGGCGCGAACACCGCGCGGCCGAGCGAGCUCCAGUCGACGCCCGCGCGCCGCGCCUCGAUGUCGACGCCGACGCGCGCCGCGCGGCUCCAUGCGAUCAGCGCAUGCGCGCCCGAAUGCGACGCGUUGAAGUCGAGCGUCGGCGCGAGCGCCGCCUGUUCGGGCGCGAGCCGCGGACGCCCCGACGCGUCGGCGCCGAGCCGCAGCUCGGCGGGCGGCAAGCCGAGCGUCGCGCCGAUCACGCCGCGCACGACCGCGCGCGUCGCGGCGCUGCGCAGCCUGUCUUCCACGCGCACGAAGCGCCGCGCGCGCUCGCGCUCGGCGUCGCUCAGCGAUGCCAGCGCGCGCGUGCGGUGCGCGGCGUCGAAAUCGAAAUCGAGCCGCACAAGCCGCACGCCGGCGCGUUGCGCCGCGGGCGGCGGCGACAGUUCGACGGCGCGAUACGCGUCAUCGGUCGGGAGCGGCAAGGCGGCUUCGGUCGGCAGGCGCAUCGGCGGCAACGCACGUCGUGCAGGCGGUGGAAAACGUUCGAUGGUAACGGAUCUUCGCGCGCGCCGAACGCAGCCGGCGGCGGCCGCCGCGCGUCUCGCGCCGCUCAGCGGGCGGCCGUCCGCCCGCUCGCCUCGUCGCGCGCCGCGCGCGCGGGCUCGGGCACGCACGGCUGCCGGUGAACCCGGCCCGGCGUCUCGGGCGCGAGCGCGCCCGUCUUCAGCCAGCCGAGCGCGAUCGGCCAGAACGUCUGCUCGAAGCGGCUGUGGAAGAACGCGAAAUGCCCGAUCGACGCCACACCGAUCUGCUCGGGCGCGAUCCGCAGAUGGGUGACCGCGCUGCGCAUGUAAUAGCCGAGCAGACGUUCGACCGCCUCGACGCUGCCGAACUCGUCGUCCGACAGGCCGAUCGCGAGCAUCGGCGCGGUGAGGCGCG
rnacentral:rRNA from 2 species